rnacentral:rRNA from 1 species
GUGCCAGCCGCCGCGGUAAUACGUAGGAUGCAAGCGUUGUCCGGAUUUAUUGGGCGUAAAGAGCGCGUAGGCGGUGUCUUAAGUUAGGCGUGAAAUCUCCCGGCUCAACUGGGAGGGGCCGUCUAAAACUGGGACGCUUGAGGGCAGCAGAGGAAAGUGGAAUUCCCGGUGUAGUGGUGAAAUGCGUAGAUAUCGGGAGGAACACCAGUGGCGAAGGCGGCUUUCUGGGCUGUUCCUGACGCUGAGGCGCGAAGGCUAGGGGAGCGAACGGGAUUAGAUACCCCGGUAGUCCUAGCAGUAAACGAUGGACACUAGGUGUUGGUGGUAUUGACCCCAUCAGUGCCGAAGCUAACGCAUUAAGUGUCCCGCCUGGGGAGUACGGCCGCAAGGCUAAA